UACGUAGGGGGGCAAGCGUUGUCCGGAUUUAUUGGGCGUAAAGAGCGUGUAGGCGGCCAGGGAGGUCCGUUUGUGAAAACUCGAGGCCUCAACCUCUAGACGUCGACCGAAACCAUCUGGCUAGAGUCCGGAAGAGGAGAGUGGAAUUCCUGGUGUAGCGGUGAAAUGCGCAGAUAUCAGGAAGAACACCCGUGGCGAAAAGCGGCUCCUCUGGGGACGGUACUGACGCGAGACGCGAAAGCGUGGGGGAGCGAAACAGGG
rnacentral:rRNA from 1 species